GACGAACGCUGGCGGCGUGCUUAACACAUGCAAGUCGAACGAAGUGGCGAACGGGUGAGUAAUACGUGGGUAACCUGCCCUCCUUUUUGGGAUAAGCCUUGGAAACGGGGUCUAAUACCGAAUAAAGGGGGAUGGGCUCGCGGCCUAUCAGCUUGUUGGUGGGGUGAUGGCCUACCAAGGCGGUGACGGGUAGACGGCAUGAGAGGGUGACCUGCGACUGUGGGACUGCGAUACGGCCCAGACUCCUACGGAGUGCAGCAGUGGGGGCUAUGGGACAAUGGGCGACAGCCUCAUGCCGCGUCUCUGCGUGGGGGAUGCAGGCUUUCGGGUUGUAAUCCUCUUUAGCUAUCGAUCCGGUAGGUGGGGAAGAAGCGCCGGCUAACUACGUGCCAGCCGCCGCGGUAAUUC
rnacentral:rRNA from 1 species